rnacentral:rRNA from 1 species
GAUGAACGCUGGCGGCGUGCCUAAUACAUGCAAGUCGAGCGAACAGAUGAGGAGCUUGCUCCUCUGACGUUAGCGGCGGACGGGUGAGUAACACGUGGAUAACCUACCUAUAAGACUGGGAUAACUUCGGGAAACCGGAGCUAAUACCGGAUAAUAUAUUGAACCGCAUGGUUCAAUAGUGAAAGACGGUUUUGCUGUCACUUAUAGAUGGAUCCGCGCCGCAUUAGCUAGUUGGUAAGGUAACGGCUUACCAAGGCGACGAUGCGUAGCCGACCUGAGAGGGUGAUCGGCCACACUGGAACUGAGACACGGUCCAGACUCCUACGGGAGGCAGCAGUAGGGAAUCUUCCGCAAUGGGCGAAAGCCUGACGGAGCAACGCCGCGUGAGUGAUGAAGGUCUUCGGAUCGUAAAACUCUGUUAUUAGGGAAGAACAAAUGUGUAAGUAACGAUGCACGUCUUGACGGUACCUAAUCAGAAAGCCACGGCGAACUACGU